rnacentral:misc_RNA from 1 species
AUCGAUUGAAAAGUCCUGGAUUCUACAGUUUUCCAGAGUACAAAUAUAUGUUUGAAGAGUAUUUGACCUCUGGUCUCAACUUGGAACUUUAUCAGUUAUACCUUGAGAACUUCCAAUGGGAAGUAGGACCUAGAUUGAAAAUGGACUUGCAGCUAUUUCCUGUCUAUGAUGCUAGCAACAAAAGUUCUCAUCUCUUUAAUACAAGUGAGGUUCUCCGUAUCAUGAGCAAGUUCACCGGAUGGACAAUUCCUGAUAGCGAUAUAUUUGGACCUUACGAACUUAUCUACUUCACUCUGUUGGACCCUUAUAAGAAUGGUUUGUCUCAAAACAAAAAUAUGCCUAUUUUAGUUGCCCUACAUAUAUUUUCAUCUGGUAAAAAAUGUGAAAGAAUUUGAACUUUGGGUUCAUGUUUUCCUGUACUUCUCCAGUGAUUAGAUGGUAAACUUAGGAUGGCUAUAAACAUUUUUCGUGUGCUCAAGAAUUGUGAAGUCCUACCAAUACUUCAUCUAUUGGCAAUAAGCUGAAAUUUGACCUGAUUCUUUUGCUUACAUUUGUAGCUAAUAACAAUUUUUUUUUAACAGGUAAGUUGUAUGCACUUAUUUCUUACCAAAAAAAAUGUCUUCUAAUUUGCAUUUGCAAAUGCCAGAAAGUAUUGCAUGCUUGAUGAAUAAUCUUAGAAAGAGUUCUCUAAACAUAUAAUUUUGUGAUAAUGCUUUGUUAUUUUGUUCCAUAUUUGAAGCUUGCCUAUAAUUAUCAAUGUCUGUGUUAUUCACUUGUGUGCAAUAUAUUGAACCAAAGGUAAAACAUCUCUAGGUGGUGUCAUUUGCAAUUCAUCUUGUCUAUGCAUCUCAUGCCUGUGCUAUAGCAGUGUAAUAUUUUUGUCUUCUAGCCAGUAGGCUAGGGAUUAUAACCUAUAAUGAAACUGAAUGAUUAUAAAGCUUAGUUUAAUUUGAGUUUUGAUCUGCUGAGGAAUAAAGUUGUAAGUUAUGAGUUGUAAGUUAUGAGUCUGGUAUACUUUCUUCAACACAAGUACGUGAUAAAAUUGUUGCAUAACUUUGAUGUUAUUAUGCUGAUGGUUCUCAUGAUGUCACAGUGAUUGUUGCCUCACCAUCAUCAUCUGCUAUAAGCAAGGGUGCCUUGGCUGGCAUAGUAUUG